rnacentral:rRNA from 1 species
CCUACGGGUGGCAGCAGUGGGGGAUAUUGGACAAUGGGGGGAACCCUGAUCCAGCGACGCCGCGUGAGUGAAGAAGUAUUUCGGUAUGUAAAGCUCUGUCAGCAGGGAAGAAAGCAAUGACGGUACCCGACUAAGAAGCCCCGGCUAACUACGUGCCAGCAGCCGCGGGAAUACGUAGGGGGCAAGCGUUAUCCGGAUUUACUGGGUGUAAAGGGAGCGUAGACGGCAGCGCAAGUCGGGAGUGAAAUGCCGGGGGCCAACCCCGGAACUGUUCUGGAAACUGUGAAGCUGGAGUGCAGGAGAGGUAAGCGGAAUUCCUGGUGUAGCGGUGAAAUGCGUAGAUAUCAGGAGGAACACCGGCGGCGAAGGCGGCUUACUGGACUGUAACUGACGUUGAGGCUCGAAGGCGUGGGGAGCGAACAGGAUUAGAUACCCCAGUAGUC